rnacentral:lncRNA from 10 species
AGAGCACCGAGGGGGAGCCAGCAGUGAGUGCACUGGGGAGCUCCACACACGCGGCUCCGCAGCUUUGCGCGCCCUUCUACCGCGAGCGGCUGAGUAUCCGCCUGGCUCCCCUGCGGGGUUCCUCCGUGGUCUUCCGGAGAUUCUUUCUGAAGCAGCUUUAGAAUAGUCAAGCCUAUUUUUCUACUCCAUUUCUUUUUGUAAUGUGGGGUCACCUUUCCGCUCUAGAAAUUGCUUUUCUUACGCGAUUCCCACCCCAACUCUCGCCAAGGGCCCUGGUUCUCAUCUCCCCAGUCUUAGCUUCUGACAAGCCUCCAAGAAACUGCGCUUUUUUCUUUUCUGGAGAUGCAGAGUAUGAAAAUGAUUUUGCAAGACUUUUCCAGGUCAUGAGGUGCUCUCUGAGAAAUCUCUUCUGUUCCCUAAAGUAGUAAGUGACUCAACUGAAGCGAAGCAAUAAUUAUUAAAUGGAUCUCUAGUGGCCUAGGGGCAUUAACACAUUUUUUUCCUUUGAAGUUAUUAUACAAUUAAAUAACUUUAGAGUGGUAGUUCCCAAAAUGUGUGACUUUAGGCACUAGUUUGCCUAAAUGCUGCUCUAGCAAGUCAUUCACUUCAAAAAUAUUGAGCCACUUCUAUAUGCCCUGGCUGGCACUCUAGGAACAGUGGUGAAGAAGACAGAUAUAUUUACCUGUCCUGAUAGAAGUUACAGUUUGGUGAAAACGAUAAAUUAGUAACAAGUGCAAAUAAGAUUUAUGCAGAUUUAUUUACACAAAAUAAAUGUAAGUCGUGAUGUAAAUAGUAGAUUUUGAGAUAAACAAUAAGAGAAAUCUCUUCAUUUUAGAGAUCCACAAUGUAUGUUAAUAAAUUAAAGGCUCUGAAAAUUCCUAUGGUAAAAACAUUUUACCUAACCUAUUCCCCAAACCCCCAAAUUUGUUUUGAACAAAUUUGUUUGUAAGCAGUGCUUAUAAUAAAAUAGAAUAAUUUUUGUGAAAUGCUGCUUUGUUUUAAAACCAAAGAAUUCAAUAAACAUGAAAUUCUGCGCAAUUCACAAUUGCAAAAAAUAUGGAACCAGCCUAAAUGUCCAUCAACCAACGAGUGGAUAAAGAAAAUAUAGUAUAUAUAUACCACAGAAUACUACUCAGCCAUAAAAAGGAACAAAAUAAUGGCAUUCUCAGCAACCUGGAUGGAAUUAGAGAUGAUUAUUCUAAGUGAAAUAACUCAGAGUGGAAAACCAAACAUAUGUUCUCAUUCAUAAGCUGGAGCUAAGCUAUGAGGACACAAAGGCAUCAGAAUGAUAUAGUGGAGUCUGGGGGCUCCAGGGGGAAGUGGGGUGAGGGGUAAAAUACUACGUAUUGAGUACAGUGUACACUGCUCUGGUGAUGGGUACACCAAAAUCUCAGAAAUUACUGCAAAAGAAUUUGUUCAUGUCACAAAAAGCCA